rnacentral:rRNA from 1 species
UACGAAGGGGGCUAGCGUUGUUCGGAAUUACUGGGCGUAAAGCGUGCGCAGGCGGACUGUAAAGUCAGGGGUGAAAUCCCGGGGCUCAACCCCGGAACUGCCUUUGAGACUGCCAGUCUUGAGGUUGAGAGAGGUGAGUGGAAUUCCGAGUGUAGAGGUGAAAUUCGUAGAUAUUCGGAGGAACACCAGUGGCGAAGGCGGCUCACUGGGUCGAUACUGACGCUGAUGUGCGAAAGCGUGGGGAGCAAACAGG